UACGUAAGGUGCGAGCGUUGUCCGGAAUUACUGGGCGUAAAGAGCUCGUAGGUGGUUUGUCGCGUUGUUCGUGAAAACUCACAGCUCAACUGUGGGCGUGCGGGCGAUACGGGCAGACUGGAGUACUGCAGGGGAGACUGGAAUUCCUGGUGUAGCGGUGGAAUGCGCAGAUAUCAGGAGGAACACCGGUGGCGAAGGCGGGUCUCUGGGCAGUAACUGACGCUGAGGAGCGAAAGCGUGGGGAGCGAACAGG
rnacentral:rRNA from 1 species